AUACCUACGGGGCGCAGCAGUGGGGAAUAUUGCACAAUGGGGGGAACCCUGAUGCAGCAACGCCGCGUGAGUGAAGAAGUAUUUCGGUAUGUAAAGCUCUAUCAGCAGGGAAGAAAAUGACGGUACCUGACUAAGAAGCCCCGGCUAACUACGUGCCAGCAGCCGCGGUAAUACGUAGGGGGCAAGCGUUAUCCGGAUUUACUGGGUGUAAAGGGAGCGUAGACGGCAGAGCAAGUCUGAAGUGAAAGCCCGCGGCCCAACUGCGGGACUGCUUUGGAAACUGCCCGGCUAG
rnacentral:rRNA from 1 species